CCUACGGGAGGCAGCAGUGGGGAAUAUUGCACAAUGGGGGAAACCCUGAUGCAGCGACGCCGCGUGAGUGAAGAAGUAAUUCGUUAUGUAAAGCUCUAUCAGCAGGGAAGAAAAUGACGGUACCUGAGUAAGCAGCCCCGGCAAACGACGUGCCAGCAUCCGCUGAAAUCCGUAGGGGGCAAGCGGUAUCCGGAUUUAAUGGGGGGAAAGGGAGCGUAGACGGCAGUGCAAGUCUGGAGUGAAAGGCGGGGGGUCAACCCCCGGACUGCUAUGGAAACUGGAGGGCUGGAGUGGAGGAGAGGUAAGUGGAAUGCCUGGUGUAGCGGUGAAAUGCGUAGAUAUUAGGCGGAACCCCAGUGGCGAAGGCGGCUUACUGGCCUGUAACUGACGUUGAGGCUCGAAAGCGUGGGGAGCAAACAGGAUUAGAUACCCUGGUAGUC
rnacentral:rRNA from 1 species